rfam:Triticum aestivum genome assembly, contig: Triticum_aestivum_CS42_TGACv1_scaffold_406256_5BL
AAUGUACUCCCUCCGUUCGGAAUUACUUGUCUCGCAAAUGGAUGUAUCUAGAACUAAAAUACGUCUAGAUACAUCCAUUUCUGUAACAAGUAAUUUCGAACGGAGGGAGUAUGUG